AGUGAACGCUGGCGGCAGGCCUAACACAUGCAAGUCGAACGGCAGCACAGUAUGCGCUUGCUCUUACGGGUGGCGAGUCGCGGACGGGUGAGGAAUACAUCGGAAUCUACUUUUUCGUGGGGGAUAACGUAGGGAAACUUACGCUAACACCGCAUACGACCUACGGGUGAAAGCAGGCGCUCUUCGGACCUUGCGCGAUUGAAUGAGCCGAUGCCGGAGUGGCUAGGUGGCGGGGUAAAGGCCCACCAAGGCGACGAUCCGUAGCUGGUCUGAGAGGAUGAUCGGCCACGGUAGAACUGAGACACGGUCCAGACUCCUACGGGAGGCAGCAGUGGGGAAUAUUGGACAAUGGGCGCAAGCCUGUUCCAGCCAUCCCGCAUGGGUGGAGAGGGCCUUCGGGUUGGAAAGCCCUUUUGUUGGGAAAGAAGAGCAGCAUGUUACUACCCCGCUGUUCUGACGGUACCCAGAGAAUAAGCACCGGCUAACUUCGUG
rnacentral:rRNA from 1 species